GACGAACGCUGGCGGCGUGCUUAACACAUGCAAGUCGAACGGUGAAGCGCCUUCCUUUUUGGUGGGUGUGGAUGAGUGGCGAACGGGUGAGUAACACGUGAGUAACCUGCCCCCUUCUUCUGGAUAACCGCAUGAAAGUGUUGCUAAUACGGGAUAUUCUGGGUCUGUCGCAUGAUGGGUCUGGGACAGAUAUUGUUUCGGUGGGGGAUGGGCUCGCGGCCUAUCAGCUUGUUGGUGGGGUGAUGGCCUACCAAGGCGGUGACGGGUAGCCGGCCUGAGAGGGUGGACGGUCACACUGGGACUGAGACACGGCCCAGACUCCGACGGGAGGCAGCAGGGGGGAAUAUUGCACAAUGGGCGCAAGCCUGAUGCAGCGACGCCGCGGGAGGGAUGGAGGCCGUCGGGUUGUGAACCUCUUUCGCCAGUGAAGCAGGCCUGCCUCGUUUGUGGGUGGGUUGACGGUAGCUGGAGAAGAAGCGCCGGCUAACUACGUG
rnacentral:rRNA from 1 species